rnacentral:rRNA from 1 species
UACGAGGGGGGCAAGUGUUGUUCGGAAUCACUGGGCGUAAAGGGAGCGUAGGCGGGCUCUUAAGUUGGAUGUUUAAACCCGGGGCCCAACCCCGGCGUGGCAUCCAAAACUGGGAGUCUUGAAUGGAACAGAGGCUAGUGGAAUUGGAGGUGUAGCGGUGGAAUGCGUAGAGAUCUCCAAGAACACCCGUUGCGAAGGCGGCUAGCUGGGUUCACAUUGACGCUGAGGCUCGAAAGCGUGGGGAGCAAACAGG